GACGAACGCUGGCGGCGUGCUUAACACAUGCAAGUCGAACGGAAAGGCCCUGCUUUUGUGGGGUUUCCGAGUGGCGAACGGGUGAGUUACCCGUGAGUAUCCUGCGCUUGACUUUGGGAUAUCUUCAGGAAACUGCGGCUAAUACCGGCUAGGAGCUCCUGCUGCAUGGUGGGCGUUGGAAAGUUUCGGCGGUGGGGGAUGGACGCGCGGCUUAUCAGCUUGUUGGUGGGGUGGUGGCUUACCAAGGGUUUGGCGGGUAGCCGGCCUGAGAGGUUGACCGGGCACAUGGGGACUGAGAGAGGGCCCAGAGGCCAACGGGAGACAGUGGGGGGAAGUAUUACACAAUGAGCCGAAGCCUGAGACAAAGACGCCGCGUGCGGGAAGACGGCCUUCGGGGUGUAAACCGCUGUAGCCUAUGACGAAGCGGGUGUGACGGUAACGAGAGAAGAAGCACCGGCUAACUACGUG
rnacentral:rRNA from 1 species